rnacentral:tRNA from 1 species
GGGGACUUAGCUCAGUGGUAGAGCGCUUGCCUAGCAAGCACAAGGCCCUGGGUUCGGUUCCCAGCUCCG